UAACACGUGGGUAACCUGCCCAUCAGAGGGGGAUAACAUUCGGAAACGGAUGCUAAAACCGCAUAGGUCCUUUAACCGCAUGGUUGAAGGAGGAAAAGAGGCGCAAGCUUCUGCUGAUGGAUGGACCCGCGGUGCAUUAGCUAGUUGGUGAGGUAACGGCUCACCAAGGCCGUGAUGCAUAGCCGACCUGAGAGGGUGAUCGGCCACAUUGGGACUGAGACACGGCCCAA
rnacentral:rRNA from 1 species